rnacentral:rRNA from 1 species
UAGCUAAAUGCGGAAGAGAUAAGUGCUGAAAGCAUCUAAGCACGAAACUUGCCCCGAGAUGAGUUCUCCCUGAGACUUUAAGUCUCCUGAAGGAACGUUGAAGACGACGACGUUGAUAGGCCGGGUGUGUAAGCGCAGCGAUGCGUUGAGCUAACCGGUACUAAAGCCGGGA